rnacentral:lncRNA from 1 species
ACCUUAUACCCACCUUAUAGACCGGCUUCGUGAAUGAGGCGUACUAGCGGUAAGACGACUUUGUUCUUAUACAUAUAUAUAUAAUUAUUAAAUCAUAAUAAUAUAAGUAUAAGGGUUGAAUUUUAACUUUUAAAAUUCUAGGGGUUGGAACUAAAGUUUUAACUUAACUUUACUUGUUCCAAAACUUGAGGGCAAGUUUUGUAAACUUUCAAAACUUUUCAUUUCUUGUAACUUAUGAGUUUAAUAGAGUAAUAAAAUGAGGACUUUUCAUUUUUCCUAACUCUUGUGUUCUUUUAAUGGUUUUUAAUCCAAGAGACUUUUGGUUUUCCAUAACUUGAGGACAAGUUAUGGACUCCAUUAAAACACAUUAUGAUCAUGAAUUAAUCUACCACAUAGGUUACAAAUAAUUCCUAUGAUCAUCUAAACAUCAUAAGAACAAGAAUAUGAAUAUGAACACUUUCAAGAAUCAAAAUCACAUUUAAUCUUUGUAAUUUUGAUAACUAGUUGUUGUAAAUGAGUUAGAAAAGACAUUACACCUUCUAAAAUAAGUUUUCAAGUACCAAAACAUUUUAGGGUAAUGAUUCUAAUCCAUUUCCAGCAACUCAAGUCGAAAUUCUGCACUCUGUCGACCCUACUCGCCGAGUGCAUAAACCUACUCGCCGAGUAGGUUGAAGAUACACAUGAACUCGACGAGUCCUCCCCAUGGACUCGCCGAGUCCAUCAGUCAGACAGCAAGAUUUUCGACUUUCUUCAACUUUUAAGCACAAAUAACAAACAAACAAGCCUAGGCUCUGAUACCACUGAUGGGUUUUGAGCAUUCUAACACUUCCUAAGUGUACAUGCAACCCUAAUAACCUUGGAUCUAUGUUUGUCUAAUUAUCAUGCAAAGUUGAAUUCCAAGGUUAUAUUCCUAUCUAGCAUACAUGGGGAACAAUUUUAACUUGAAUCAUAGAUAGAAUAACUUACCUUGUUGUUGCUUGUGUUCCUUGAAACCUUGUGAGCCUAGCACCCCAAGUGUGAUGCCUCAAAUGCUUCACACAACACCAAAUGCUCUUGGAAAGACUCUUGAGAUAACACACACUUCUCAAAAUCGGCCAAGCCCUCUAGUUUCUUAGUGUAGCCGAUUUUGGUGGAGAAUAUGAUUCUUAUAUAGUGUUGACACAUCUAGGGUUACACCAUGUAAACCCUAAUGUGUCAUGACUCUUCAUUUCCAUGACCCAUGGGUUUGUAACUCCCAUGGAGCAUCCAUGGAGCAUCCUAUGGGUAGAACCCAACUUGAUAAUCCAUGGAGCCUCUUAGCCCACUAUACAAGAUAUGGAUGAUUUACAUAAUCAACCCAUAUAUUUAAUUAGUUAUCCUUUGAUCACUUAAUUAAUUCCAAAUUAAUUCUUUGAUCAACUAAUCAAAUAAUAUUAUUAAUAUAUUAGAACUUAUAAUAUAUUAAUAAUCUCCAAGUGUUAUUUCUCUCAUUUAGUCUAUCCAAUUGCAUGGUGCCAUGCAACCCAAAUGGACCAUGCCGGGUCGGGUCAAGUACAAGCCCGAAAUAGUUAUGGACUUAGACACCUUAUCCAACAGUCUCCCACUUGGAUAAGUCUAAUAACUAUAUCUCUAGUACUUCAGGAACCGACCGGCAAUCGUAGCUCUUUCAAGGUCUCUCGGAACUGAGAAGAUGAUGGUACGCCAUUUAAGAUAAGUGAUCAUAUAAUCCUCCGUUCUAGAUAUCAGCCGGACAAAUACAUGGAACAUUGUCUUGCUUAUUGUCCAGCAUUUGUUUCCCGAUUUCCGAUUUGUUUGACAUAGAACUUAAUUGAACACAUCAACUUAGUUCUGACCGGGCCCGGUACAUGGGUCAAAACAAAAUCAUCGAGGGGCCCAGAUAUCAGCUUCUAAUCCAAGAAGGAACAGAUAAACUUCGACUCAUAUGUUUGUUCUACCACUCAUUGAAUUACACACAAAAGUACGUUUUAUAACAUCGAGUUACCAAUGCGGUUUCGUACAGUCAAUGCAUAACCAACUUGUAAGUAACAAAUCAUAUCUCUAGGUUUGAAGACUUAUAUGAUAUUACCGUCUCACGAUCACUCGAGAUAGAAUUCCAUGAAGUGAUUCCAGUGAGCGUGGGUUGAGUCCAAUGCUCAGAACUUAUGAGCACUCAUGAUUGUUGUAGCCUUGUCCAACACCUUAGACCUCUACAACCCAUCAUGACAGUCUUGAUUCAUACCUACUUCCGACAUAUGACCGACUGUGGAGGUUUGAAUAAUAUGUUACACCAAACAAAAUUAUUCUGGAAGUCAAAACAUGCAAAAGAAAUAUAGUAAACGAUUGACAAGAGAUAGCAACACUUUACUCAUAAAUAAAACACCUUUUAUUCAUCAUCAAAUGUCAAUUACACUUUACAAAUUUCUGGGUUAUCUAACUACUAAAACUUAUAUCAUCCUUCAGCCCUAUGCUCCGAGCAUGCUGGAGAUGCUUAACCCUACUCAGUCCCUUCGUGAGGGGAUCUGCUGGGUUCUCAUCCGAUGAUACCCUCUUUGCCACGAGGAGUCCUUCUUCGAUCCGAUGUCUAAUGAAAUGGUAUUUUCUGUCGAUGUGUCUGGAUCUCCCAUGAUCCCUUGGUUCCUUGGCUAAGGCAACAGCACUUUCACUAUCACAGAAAAUUUCCAUUGGCUCUUUAAUAGCUGGUACAACUCCAAGGUCUCCAAUGAAGUUCUUCAGCCAUAUCGCCUCCUUUGCUGCUUCGCUAGCUGCAAUAUACUCUGAUUCACAAGUAGAAUCUGCCACUGUCUCUUGCUUGGAACUCUUCCAAGAAAUUGCUCCUCCGUUUAGGGUAAAGACCCAGCCCGACUGAGAGCGGAAAUUAUCCCUAUCAGUCUGGAAGCUAGCAUCACUAUACCCUACAACUCUCAAGUCAUCACUCCCACCGAGGGUAAGGACCCAGUCCUUAGUCCUCCGUAGGUACUUGAGGAUAUUCUUUACCGCAGUCCAGUGUGCCUUGCCAGGGUUCGCCUGAUACCUGCUAACCAUGCUCAAGGCAAAAGCUACAUCGGGUCGAGUACACGUCAUAGCAUACAUGAUCGAUCCUACAGCCGAAGCGUAAGGUGUUCGACUCAUUUCUGCUAUCUCAGCCUCAGUGCUAGGGCUUUGUGUCUUACUCAAUCUGGUGUUACUCUGGAUGGGUAACUCUCCUUUCUUGGAAUCCUGCAUGCUGAAUCUCUUCAGCACCUUAUCCAAGUAGGUACUCUGACUAAGUCCAAUUAGUCUUUUACUCCGAUCUCUCAAGAUUCUUAUCCCUAGAAUAUAGGCAGCUUCACCAAGGUCCUUCAUAGCGAAACACUUCCCAAGCCAGGACUUUACUUCCUGCAGGGUUGGAAUGUCGUUUCCUAUGAGUAGUAUGUCAUCCACAUACAAUACCAAAAAGCUAACUAUACUCCCACUAGCCUUGACAUACACACAAGAUUCAUCUUCACUCCUAGAAAAGCCAAAUUCCUUGACCUUUUCAUCAAAGCAAAGAUUCCAUCUGCGAGGUGCUUGCUUCAAUCCAUAAAUGGAUUUCUCAAGCUUACACACUCUAUUAGGGUACUCGUUGCUGACAAAACCCUCUGGCUGACUCAUGUAAACAUCUUCAGCCAACUUUCCAUUAAGGAAAGCGGUUUUGACAUCCAUCUGCCAUAUUUCAUAGUCAUGAAAUGCAGCUAUGGCUAACAGAACCCGAAUAGACUUAAUCUUGGCUACCGGAGAAAAGGUCUCAUCAUAAUCCACUCCAGGAAUUUGAGAGAAGCCCUUUGCAACCAGUCUAGCCUUAUAAGUGUGUACUUUACCAUCCAUGUCGGUCUUCUUCUUGAAGACCCAUUUGCACCCUACUGUCUUACGACCUGGUACAUUUUCAACCAAGUUCCAAACUUGAUUGUCAUACAUGGAUUGUAUCUCGCUAUCCAUAGCCUCUUUCCAUUUAGCAGACUCGGGGCCUGCCAUGGCUUCCUCGUAGCUGUUAGGGUCAUCUUGACUUACUAGUGUCUCAUCACUAAUAAGUGUCUCACCUUCUGCAGUAAUAUGGAAUCCAUAGUAAUGCUCAGGUGCACUCCUAACUCUCGUGGAACGUCUCAGAGGUACAGAUUUGUCAAUUGGCUCAACAGGAGUUUCCUCCUCAAGUUGAGGGCUAGAGUUUGAAGUUCCUUCACCGCUUGAUUCUUGAAUUUCUUCAAGAUCAAUUUGCCUCCCACUGUCUCCUUGGCUUAUAAACUCUCUUUCUCGAAAGACUCCUCUUCUUGCUACAAAGACCACAUUGUCACUAGGUCUGUAGAAGAGGUAACCAAAGGAUCGCUGUGGGUAACCGAUGAAAAUACACCUCUCGCUUCGAGGUUCGAGCUUAUCAUGAGUCUCGCGUCUCACGAAAGCCUCGCAACCCCAAAUCUUGAUGUGGUCUAGUUUAGGUACUUUACCAGUCCACAUCUCGUGAGGAGUUUUGGCAACUUUCUUUGUAGGGACUAGAUUAAGAAUAUGGGCGGCAGUCUCUAAGGCAUACCCCCAGAAUGAGAUUGGUAGCGUAGCUCGACUCAUCAUGGAACGAACCAUAUCUAACAAGGUUCGAUUACGCCUCUCAGCCACACCAUUCAACUGUGGUGUCCUGGGAGGUGUCAAUUGUGAGACUAUCCCACAUUCCCUUAGAUAGUCGAGGAACUCUGAACUAAGAUACUCACCACCACGAUCGGAUCGAAGCAUCUUAAUGUUCCUGCCCAAUUGAUUCUCGACUUCCUGUUUAAAUUCCUUAAACCUCUCGAAAGUCUCUGACUUAUGCUUGAUCAAGUAGACAUAUCCAUAUCUACUAUAAUCAUCAGUAAAAGUCAAAUAAUAACGAUUAGCAUCCCUUGUGGCAUGUUUGAAUGGUCCACACACAUCCGUGUGUAUAAGGUCCAACAAACCUUCACCCCUCUCACACGAACCUGUGAAGGGUGACUUUGUCAUUUUUCCAAGUAAGCAUGAUUCGCAACUAUCAUCUGACUUUAGGUCAAACGACUCCAAGACUCCAUCCUUUUGGAGUUGGCCUAUGCGUUUCUUGCUUAUAUGUCCAAGACGACAAUGCCAUAAAGAUGCUUUAUCCAAGUUAUUAUUAGUAGAAUCAAUACACAAAACAUUAUUUCCCAAGUUAUCUACAACAGAUACAGCUUCAUACACACCAUCACAAGGUAAUGCUUUAAAAUAAAAGACAUUAUUAUAGAAAACAUCUAUAGAACCAACUUCAUUAUUAAAUGAAAAGGUAAACCCUUGUUUGUACAAAGCAUGAAAGGAAAUAAUAUUUCUUGCCAUUCCUGGCGAAUAACAACACUUAUUCAAAUCUAAACUAAACCCACUACUUAGCGAUAAAGUAUAAACUCCAAUCUUGGUAACAGGUAUAGCUUUCCUAUUCCCCAUGAUCAAGUUUAUCCUUCCUUGCUCCACAUCCUCACUUCUUCUUAGUCCCUGCAAGUCACAACAAAUGUGAAUACCACACCCGGUAUCAAGGACCCAAGAAUUAGAAUGGGGUGAGUUAUUAGAAAUGAUAGUGUAAAUACCUGCAUGGUUGGGUUUAACUUUCCCAUCCUUCACAUCUUGCUGGUAUUUUGGGCAGUUCCGCUUCCAAUGAGCUUUUUCAUGGCAAUAGAAGCAUUCAGCCUCUUUUGGGUCAGAAGAAGGAGUAAUGAAACCUUUCUUGGUUCCACUUGAAGAAGAGCCAUCAAGGGUCCGAACCUUGGUACCCUUAGAAGAGCUCUUUCUCUUCCUCCCUCGACUUUUCCCGAUUGCCAAAACCGGAGUAGAGUUUUGAGUAGGAGUGAUAGCAACCGACUUCCCCUUAAGACCUGAUUCUGCGGUCUUGAGAAGUCCCUGAAGUUUGCUGAGGGUGACUUCUUCCUUGUUCAUGUGAUAUGUCAUGCGGAAUUGAUCAUAGCACGAUGGUAAGGAAUGCAAAAUAAUAUCUAUUGCAAGAUCCUCCGGGAAGUUCACAUUAAGCUUCAGCAAACGAUCCACAUACCUUUGCAUUUUCUGCAUGUGGCUCGUGACGGAUUCCCCGUCCUUCAUCAUGGUUGUUAUCAUGGAGCAGAUGAUUUCAUACCUCUCUUGUCUUGCACUUUGAUGGUAUCUUUCCAUCAAAUCUUGGUGCAUUUCAUAAGGGUAGAAAUCCUCAUAAGACUUUUGGAGUUCCGCUGUCAUCGUGGCCAUCAUGAUGCAAGCCACUUUCGUAGCAUCCCUUUCAUGUGCCCGAAAUUCAGCGAUCUCCUGAGGAGUUGCAGUGGACUCAUCAAUCUCCUUAAGCUCCUUGUCAAGGACAUAUUCUUUGUCCUCGUAGCGGGUAAUCAUCCUGAUGUUUCUGAUCCACUCAUUGAAGUUGGAUCCAUCAAAGGUGACUUUCCCACACAAGUUCAUAAGGGUAAAGGAGCCAUUAGGAUUAGAGCCAGAAGCAUUGUUGAAAGACAUCUGAAGGAAAGAGGACAAGAUUAGUUUAGAUAUAAGAGAGUCCUUAAUAAAACACCCAAAUGUAAUAUUAAGGCUAGGAUCCAAUCACAAUAUAAUAUAACUUAGAAGAGGUAUGCCGUAAUCUAAGCUAUAUCAUAUUUGAAAGGUAGGUGAAUGACGAUUCACCAAUUUCCACCACGAAAACCGCAAUAUUUUAGUAUUAGGUUUUUGAAUGGUUCUUAGAAAUUCCUAGAUUCUUUGAGAUUCAAUGAACUUUUCAAAGGCAUGUUUCAAUCUCGAGUGUGCCCUCCAAGUUUUGUGACUGGGAUACCGAGGAUCACAAAACGAGGUGUGAAGUAACCAUGCAAAUCACUUGGUACCCUUAAAGUUUAUCACUCAAUCGAUGUGCCGGUUAACCACACACGCUCCAUCGAUACUAUAAUAAACCCUAAGUCACCCUUUACCUACCUUGUUAAGUCCAAGUUAGUGUGCCGGUUAACCACACACGCUCCACCAACGACUUAAUCAAAGUGUAAAGUGUAAUUUCAUGGAAUAGCACCUUAUUCACAUUUUUCCUAAAGUAACUAAGAUUGGGAAUUUAAUAAAACAUUUAGUUACUUUAUAAUAUUCAUCAUACUUUGAAUGAGAAUUAAUAAGUCCUUGUCUUACCCGUUCGGCUAACGACCCUCCACCGAUCAAGCAAGCGGUGGGUGAGAGUGGACACCCAUUAAGUCACCAUUUUAUAGGCAACAACCUUAUACCCACCUUAUAGACCGGCUUCGUGAAUGAGGCGUACUAGCGGUAAGACGACUUUGUUCUUAUACAUAUAUAUAUAAUUAUUAAAUCAUAAUAAUAUAAGUAUAAGGGUUGAAUUUUAACUUUUAAAAUUCUAGGGGUUGGAACUAAAGUUUUAACUUAACUUUACUUGUUCCAAAACUUGAGGGCAAGUUUUGUAAACUUUCAAAACUUUUCAUUUCUUGUAACUUAUGAGUUUAAUAGAGUAAUAAAAUGAAGACUCUUCAUUUUUCUAACUCUUAUGUUCUUUUAAUGGUUUUUAAUCCAAGAGACUUUUGGUUUUCCAUAACUUGAGGACAAGUUAUGGACUCCAUUAAAACACAUUAUGAUCAAGAAUUAA